CCUACGGGAGGCAGCAGUGGGGAAUAUUGGGCAAUGGGCGCAAGCCUGACCCAGCAACGCCGCGUGAGUGAAGAAGUAUUUCGGUAUGUAAAGCUCUAUCAGCAGGGAAGAAGAAAGACGGUACCUGACUAAGAAGCCACGGCUAACUACGUGCCAGCAGGCGCGGUAAUAAGUAGGGGGCAAGCGUUAUCCGGAUUUACUGGGUGUAAGGGGAGCGUAGACGGCUGUGCAAGUCUGAAGUGAAAGCCCGUGGCUCAACCGCGGAACUGCUUUGGAAACUGUAUAGCUUGAGUACUGGAGAGGCAGGCGGAAUUCCUAGUGUAGCGGUGGAAUGCGUAGAUAUUAGGAGGAACACCAGGGGCGAAGGCGGCCUGCUGGACAGAAACUGACGUUGAGGCUCGAAAGCGUGGGGAGCAAACAGGAUUAGAUACCCCAGUAGUC
rnacentral:rRNA from 1 species